rnacentral:hammerhead_ribozyme from 1 species
GCACUGCUGAGGAGUCGCACAUUUGGACGAAACGACCGUCCAGUGC